AAGUGAGGAUUGUGGAUAAAUGGGAUCAGAUCUGGGGAUAAUUCGGCGGGGAAAUGGUAGAAGAAUUAGAGCUAGAGAAGAGAGGUGUGGAAGAGAUGGGUCUGAGGAAGAAGAAGAAGAAAGAAGAAGAUAGAACUAGAAGGAAGAGAAAUUACCAAUUCAUUCCAUAUAUAUAAACUUCUCAAUCGCUACAUCUCCUACUUAUAGUUCCCUUUAGGGUUAAUUUCAUACAGGUCCCUGCAAAUGUAUUUAAUAGCAGAUAUAUUCCUGCAAAGUUCAACUUUCAUAAGUUAUCGUUGCAAAAGCCCUAAUGUAUUCAGAUAUGUCCCUCUGGUUUGGAUCGGUUAGAGAACUGUUAAUUUUUUAACAGUAGAGUUGUGAAAUAACUAUUUUGCCCUUGCCCCUUCCUCUUCCUCUUCAUACUGUGGGAGCGGACGGCGGCCGCGGCAACGGCGACGGCGACUUUGCGGAGCUUGUCGGGUUGGGGCUAAUGAGGACAAGGAAGAGGAGGAAGGCGAAGGUGCGUCGAUGCCGUUGGAGACGCCCAUGACGAUGGCCCAUGCGCCCACGAUGGCGACGAUGAUCGGAUCAUCAACGACGACAACGACGAAGAAGAAGAAGAAGGAGGAGAAAAGGAGGAGGAAAAUGAGAUUGCUCUGAAGGGAGGAUGGCAGUGAGGAUUGUGGAUGAAUGGGCUCAGAUCUGGGGAUAAUUCGGUAGGGAAAUGGUAGAAGAAUUAGAGCUAGAGAAGAGAGGUAGGGAAGAGAUGGGUCUGAGGAAGAAGAAGAUAGAAUUAGUAGGAAGAGAAAUUAUCAAUUCAUU
rnacentral:lncRNA from 1 species